CUUACUAACGCUGAGAUACGAUGUCGAGCUACUACGGUAGUGAAGUCAUUGAUGCCAUGCUUCCAGGAAAAGCCUCUAAGCUUCAGAUUGUAAGGAAUCGUACCCCAAACCGACACAGGUGGUCGGGUAGAGAAUACCAAGGCGCUUGAGAGAACUCGGGUGAAGGAACUAGGCAAAAUGGUACCGUAACUUCGGGAGAAGGUACGCUCUUAUCAGUGAAGUCCCUUGCGGAUGGAGCAGACGAGAGUCGCAGAUACCAGGUGGCUGCAACUGUUUAUUAAAAACACAGCACUGUGCAAAAUCGUAAGAUGACGUAUACGGUGUGACGCCUGCCCGGUGCCGGAAGGUUAAUUGAUGGGGUUAGACUUCGGUCGAAGCUCUUGAUCGAAGCCCCGGUAAACGGCGGCCGUAACUAUAACGGUCCUAAGGUAGCGAAAUUCCUUGUCGGGUAAGUUCCGACCUGCACGAAUGGCGUAAUGAUGGCCACGCUGUCUCCACCCGAGACUCAGUGAAAUUGAAAUCGCUGUGAAGAUGCAGUGUACCCGCGGCUAGACGGAAAGACCCCGUGAACCUUUACUACAGCUUGGCACUGAACAUUGAACCUACAUGUGUAGGAUAGGUGGGAGACUUUGAAACCGCGUCGCUAGAUGUGGUGGAGUCGUCCUUGAAAUACCACCCUUGUAGUUUUGAUGUUCUAACGUUGGUCCCUGAAUCGGGAUUACGGACAGUGCCUGGUGGGUAGUUUGACUGGGGCGGUCUCCUCCCAAAGAGUAACGGAGGAGCACGAAGGUGGGCUAAACACGGUUGGACAUCGUGUGGUUAGUGCAAUGGCAUAAGCCCGCUUGACUGCGAGAAUGACAAUUCGAGCAGGUGCGAAAGCAGGUCAUAGUGAUCCGGUGGUUCUGAAUGGAAGGGCCAUCGCUCAACGGAUAAAAGGUACUCCGGGGAUAACAGGCUGAUACCGCCCAAGAGUUCAUAUCGACGGCGGUGUUUGGCACCUCGAUGUCGGCUCAUCACAUCCUGGGGCUGAAGUCGGUCCCAAGGGUAUGGCUGUUCGCCAUUUAAAGUGGUACGCGAGCUGGGUUUAGAACGUCGUGAGACAGUUCGGUCCCUAUCUGCCGUGGGCGUUGGAAAAUUGAAAGGGGCUGCUCCUAGUACGAGAGGACCGGAGUGGACGAACCUCUGGUGUUCGGGUUGUCAUGCCAAUGGCAUUGCCCGGUAGCUAAGUUCGGAAUCGAUAACCGCUGAAAGCAUCUAAGCGGGAAGCGAGCCUUGAGAUGAGUUUUCCCUG
rnacentral:rRNA from 1 species